ACCAGACGUGGUGGCAUGUGCCUGUAGUCCCAGCUACUUGGGAAGCUGAGGUGGGAGGAUCGCUUGAACCCAGGAGUUCUGGGCUGUAGUGUGCUAUGCUGAUCAGGUGUCCGCACUAAGUUCAGUAUCAAUAUGGUGACCUCCUGGGAGCAGGGGACCACCAGGUUUCCUAAGGAGGGGUGAACUGGUCCAGGUCAGAAACGGAGCAGGUCAAAACUCCUGUGCUGAUCAGUAGUGGGAUCGCGCCUGUGAAUAGCCACUGCACUCCAGCCCGGGCAACAUAAUGAGACUCUGUCUCU
rnacentral:SRP_RNA from 1 species